rnacentral:rRNA from 1 species
GAUGAACGCUGGCGGCGUGCCUAAUACAUGCAAGUCGAACGCAUAGCGAAAGGUGCUUGCACCUUUCAAGUGAGUGGCGAACGGGUGAGUAACACGUGGACAACCUGCCUCAAGGCUGGGGAUAACAUUUGGAAACAGAUGCUAAUACCGAAUAAAACUUAGUGUCGCAUGACACAAAGUUAAAAGGCGCUUCGGCGUCACCUAGAGAUGGAUCCGCGGUGCAUUAGUUAGUUGGUGGGGUAAAGGCCUACCAAGACAAUGAUGCAUAGCCGAGUUGAGAGACUGAUCGGCCACAUUGGGACUGAGACACGGCCCAAACUCCUACGGGAGGCGGCAGUAGGGAAUCUUCCACAAUGGGCGAAAGCCUGAUGGAGCAACGCCGCGUGUGUGAUGAAGGCUUUCGGGUCGUAAAGCACUGUUGUAUGGGAAGAACAGCUAGAAUAGGAAAUGAUUUUAGUUUGACGGUACCAUACCAGAAAGGGACGGCUAAAUACGUG